rnacentral:rRNA from 1 species
AAUAGAUACCCUGGUAGUCCACCCCGUAAACGUUGGGAACUAGUUGUGGGGUCCUUUCCACGGAUUCCGUGACGCAGCUAACGCAUUAAGUUCCCCGCCUGGGGAGUACGGCCGCAAGGCUAAAACUCAAAGGAAUUGACGGGGACCCGCACAAGCGGCGGAGCAUGCGGAUUAAUUCGAUGCAACGCGAAGAACCUUACCAAGGCUUGACAUACACCGGAAACGGCCAGAGAUGGUCGCCCCGCAAGGUCGGUGUACAGGUGGUGCAUGGUUGUCGUCAGCUCGUGUCGUGAGAUGUUGGGUUAAGUCCCGCAACGAGCGCAACCCUCGUUCUAUGUUGCCAGCACGUAAUGGUGGGAACUCAUGGGAUACUGCCGGGGUCAACUCGGAGGAAGGUGGGGAUGACGUCAAAUCAUCAUGCCCCUUAUGUCUUGGGCUUCACGCAUGCUACAAUGGCCGGUACAAAGGGCUGCAAUACCGUGAGGUGGAGCGAAUCCCAAAAAGCCGGUCCCAGUUCGGAUUGAGGUCUGCAACUCGACCUCAUG